UAUGUUUAUCUGCAAGACUUGGAUCUAGUGACCUCAAGGAUAUGAUUUGCAAGCAAAUCAGAAAUCAAAGCAUGUGCUUGUCUUCACUGCAGGAUUGCAUUGAUAUUCCUUGUGAGUGCUUAUUUAUAGGGUUGUUUUUGUAGCAAAACAAAUUCUCUUGGAGAUAGCUUGGACUUCAACUUCAACUUCAACUGUUAUUUGGGAGGUUGCAGGGAGAGACAGCGGCAGUAGCUAGGAGAAGAUCUGAGAUUACUCCUGAGCUGGACAAGCACAAUAACCAGGU